AGUGAACGCUGGCGGUAGGCCUAACACAUGCAAGUCGAACGGCAGCACAGUAAGAGCUUGCUCUUACGGGUGGCGAGUGGCGGACGGGUGAGGAAUACAUCGGAAUCUACUUUUUCGUGGGGGAUAACGUAGGGAAACUUACGCUAAUACCGCAUACGACCUACGGGUGAAAGCAGGGGAUCUUCGGACCUUGCGCGAUUGAAUGAGCCGAUGUCGGAUUAGCUAGUUGGCGGGGUAAAGGCCCACCAAGGCGACGAUACGUAGCUGGUCUGAGAGGAUGAUCAGCCACACUGGAGCUGAGACACGGUCCAGCCUCCUACGGGAGGCAGCAGUGGCGAAUAUUGGACAAUGGGCGCAAGCCUGAUCCAGCCAUACCGCGUGGGUGAAGAAGGCCUUCGGGUUGUAAAGCCCCUUUGUUGGGAAAGAAAAGCAGCAGGUUAAUACCCCGCUGUUCUGACGGUACCCAAAGAAUAAGCACCGGCUAACUUCGUG
rnacentral:rRNA from 1 species